CUAGAAAUUUGUGUCUUCGCAAGGUAAAGCAAUAUGCCUUGGAUCAGAUAGAAAUAAGAUUGGUGACUGAUGCAGAAAUAUAUUCUUACAUGACUGCCUCUUUAUUUUAUAAUAUUUAAAUUGCUAUUUAUAGACAUCAUUUCUUGGGUAACACAAAUCAGCAAUCUUAUAUGCAGCUUUGCCGUUAUAUAAACAUAAAAGUUGGAAAAAUCUAAGGGAUGGUUGCUUGACAUGCAUUUUGUUUCACCUUUCUCAAAAAUAAACUUGGCUCCUAAUUUGGACUUGAAUGGAUGGUCCCUACCAUUAUCCAAUAAGACAGUUAAUCUCUUUAUGAGCGUCUGGAGUUCAAACAUUUUGUGUUCUUGAUUAAAGUGAGAGUCAUGCACUUUAAAUGGCAGGUGUGCAAGUGGUAAGGUAACAACCACAUGAUAAAAAAAAAAAAAGAUAGGAACUUAUUUGUAUCCUUCCCUAAGUACUUCCACCUAUCAACUUUGGGCAGCAUGGUGCACGUGUUAAUAAAAACAUAAUAACCCAGAGAGUACAAAAUGUAGACUUGGAAAGUAAAUACAUGCUGCCCAAGCAUUAGAACUAAAAUUCUUCAAGAUGAACCUGUGAGAAACAGUUUUGGUUUGUUGAUAAGAUAUAAAAUCCAACGUGGUGGGAAAUUUCUGGGAAAUGACAUACAUAUGUGCAGUGAACAAAAAAAAUAGUAUAUAUUGACCUGAAUCUUAGCCAGCUUCACACACGGUUGUUUUGUUUGUUUGUUUGUUUGUUUUUUUCUUUAACAGGACAUUAAGCUCCAUUUGGGUGGUUUACAGGGCUGAACUUUCAAGGGCACUAAGGAAAAGCUAUAGUUUCAUUUCUGUUCCACAGACAUCACCUUCCUAUUACUGCCAAAAGCCAAGAUCAUGAAGGUGAUUUGGACAAAGGCCCAGUGUAAUCAUGGCUAUGUCAGGUUCACUGUGUGGUACUCUCUUCCCAUCUUCCCUAAGGAUACCAUCGAAACAGUUUUAUUUCCGGUAAAUAAUUAUUUGUGUUCUAUAUAAACUAAUUUAGAUCA
rnacentral:lncRNA from 1 species